AGCCGCGCUGACGUCGAGCCCCGCUCCCAACACACUGAACUAUUUAUUCUGCCUAAUUUAUGACCUCCACAGCAAGAGAGACCCCCACUCCAAAAACCAACACUGUUGUAUAUUUAAUUAAUCUGUCUUUCUCUGGCACUUGGGAAAGUUAGACAAAGGUCUAAUUAUUGUGUGUCGCUCCCCACACUUUUCUUUUUGGGGUGACUAUUUGCAUGGGAAAAGAAACGGCGAGGCUGGGCGCGAGUCCCCUCCCUCCAAAACACCUUUUUUUUUCCCCCCUGCCCUAUUGACAUUUCAUGAAAUACUUUAGCUGCUUAAGGGAAUUAGAAAAAAAAAAAUCUGAUGUGAAUGUAACUCCUUCGGAGUUGGUAUUCAGUAACACAAAUCAACUCAUGACAUGUUUAAAUUUAAAUGCUAACCACACACUCUGCGAGUUACUUUAAAGUACUGCUCUCCCAGGGAGUUUAGAGCUAAAUGCACCCACUGGAGCUAAAAAGUCCUGCUCAGUAAAAUUGCUGCCACACAGUUGUCGGUGCAACUACGAGUCUGUAUUGUCCUGCCGAGCAUCUCACUGUCCUUCUCCAGCACUCAAGGUGAAACAUCAGAAAGAAUUCUGCAGUCCGGUACGAGAUCUUUGCUUCCCUUUCUCCAGUCAAAUGAAGAAGUAAUCUCAUCAGGUUGAAAAGUGCUGACUAAGGAUUUAAUAAAGUGCCUGCAGAUGUG